rnacentral:lncRNA from 1 species
UGGGUGGUGGCUGUGUCUUUCACAGUCCAGGAAAAAAGCCCCUCAGAGAAGCAUUCUUUUGAGGUGUCAUCCUCCCCUCCAAGCAGGCUGGGAUGCUUUAGGGCAUGCAGUAUGCUUCCUUUACCUUCUCUUCCCUUUCCUCAGGCUGAUAAACAUGGCCAUUCGCCUUCUGCAAGAUGAGGAGCGGGAGGUCCGGCAUGAGGCCUCAGGUUUCGCCAGCCUCCUGCGGCAGAGCCCAGGGGAGCUGCUCCAAGAUGGCUGCAUCUUUGUGCAGGACAACGUGGGGCUCCAGAGCCUCCUAGAGCUCCUUCUGGGAGAGUUCGGGGGGCACCCUGAGACCUUCAACUCACUACUUCAGCAUAUCCCCAUCUUGGAUCUCAGGAGUGUUGUGGAGGAGCUGGAGGCCAACAAAGCUGCCAGCCUGUACAAGGAGGACGAACCCAAUGUUUUUGCAGAGCCAGCUGUCCUGGCACAGCAGCUGCUCCCUGUCCUGGUGCAGCUCCUGGAGAAGGCUCCCACUGGCAGCCCACUCCAUGCCUUGGCUCUGCAGUGGCUGGAAGCCACAGGCCCCGGUGUGCUGAGGGACCUGCAGUACUGCAAACGCUGCUGGAGCCAAGGUAUGGCGAGCGUGGAGUGCCUGGGACAAGCAAACAGUGUCCUUGUUCCCCAGGCCAGCCCUGCCCAUGGGGACCCCGCCCCACUCCUGGCUCCUUCCCCGCUCUCUCCACAGGGGCUGCUGUCCGCUGGGGGAUGAAGGCGCUGGGCUGUGCCAGGCUCCACACAGCCCUGGCCGUGCUGCUGGUGAGGGCCCGCCUGGUGGCACGGGUGCUGCAGGUGCUGGGGGAAAGUGCCACCACCAUGCCAGGCCUGGGUUGUGGUUCCCAGGAGCUGGAGCAGGAGCUGGAGCUGGUACAGGGGCUGCUGGUGCAGCACGGCCUGGCCCCUGUGCCAAAUCAGGACAAUGCACCAGGAGAGCUGGGACCACUGCUGGGGACUGACAGCUCCAAGCAUGCAGCAGUGUGACAUGGAAUCCUGCAGC